UGAAAACGUCAGAUUCAGGAUGGUACCGGUGUCGCUCUGAUACAUGGACAGGAACUCUAUAUGUUGAUUUUUAUCUCGAUGUGACUGAAGCCUCCACAACAACAACAACACCACAGAGUCUGAGUUCCUCACCUUCUCCAUCCUCCUCUGAAACCAGCAAACUCCCAGAGGAACCAGCUGCAGCUUCAGGUUUUCUGCUUUAUAUGAUUCUGUCUCUGGUCGCCAAGAUCAUCUUAUUAUCAGCACCUUUGGUGAUUUACUGCAAGAACAGGAGGGUCACCAAGAGCAAAGCAGAUCAGUCAGGACUGAAGGAUCCCUGAGGAGGCAGGAGAUAAAAUUAAACAUCUGACUGAAGAUCCUGCUGUGGAAACAGAGUACACCGUUGUCUCUCAGACCAACCCAGAGACAGAGAUAACCAGAGGAGGACUGAUCAAAUCCUCUGCUGAGGAAAUAUCUUCAGUUUAGACAUAAACUAAACCCUGACACAACCAGAGCUCAAAGUACAGAUGAGGAACAUUUCCUCAGAUUUUUUUUUCUCAACAAAAUAAGUCAAUCUGUGUCAGGAUUUAAGCUCUCGGAUAAAAACACAGAAAAUCUAAUUUAAAUGUCUUUUUUAAAGUUCAGCAGUAGC